UGGAAAAAGGUACCACUAUAAAAUGCUUUUAA
rnacentral:piRNA from 1 species